GGUCAAGCUACUAAGGGCGUACGGUGGAUGCCUAGGCGCUAAGAGUCGAAGAAGGGCGCGGUUAACAGCGAAAUGCCACGGGGAGCAGUAAGCAUGCAUUGAUCCGUGGAUACCCGAAUGGGGCAACCCCAUUGGAGUUAUAUCCAAUGAUCUUUAACUGAAUAGAUAGGUUAAAGAGGACAACCCGGGGAACUGAAACAUCUAAGUACCCGGAGGAAGAGAAAGAAUAAUCGAUUCCCUGAGUAGCGGCGAGCGAAACGGGAAGAGCCCAAACCAAGCUCUUCGGAGCUUGGGGUUGUAGGACCCUCUAUUAAGCAUUAAUUCUUAGCUGAAGAAAUCUGGAAAGAUUCAGCAAAGAAGGUAACACUCCUGUAAGCGAAAAGAAGAAAUGCUGUGAGGGUAUCCUGAGUACCGCGGGACACGAGAAACCCCGUGGGAAACCGGGAGGACCACCUCCCAAGGCUAAAUACUCCUUAGCGACCGAUAGUGAACCAGUACCGUGAGGGAAAGGUGAAAAGCACCCCGGGAGGGGAGUGAAAAAGAACCUGAAACCGUACGCUUACAAGCAGUCAAAGCACCCUUGAGGUGUGAUGGCGUGCCUUUUGUAGAAUGAACCGGCGAGUUACGGUAUGUAGCGAGGUUAAAGCGAGAAGCUGGAGCCGAAGCGAAAGCGAGUCUGAAAAGGGCGACAAGUUACAUGCUGUAGACCCGAAACCGUGUGAUCUACCCAUGGUCAGGGUGAAGGUGGGGUAAAACCUACUGGAGGCCCGAACUCACUGUCGUUGAAAAGGCAAGGGAUGAACUGUGGGUAGGGUGAAAUGCCAAUCGAACACGGAGAUAGCUGGUUCUCCCCGAAAUAGCUUUAGGGCUAGCCUCAAUUGAUGAUUCUUGGCGGUAAAGCACUGAAUAGGCUAGGGGCCUUACCGGGUUACCGAACCUUAUCAAACUCUGAAUGCCAAGAAUUUAGAUUGGGAGUCAGACUGUGGGGGAUAAGCUUCAUAGUCAAAAGGGAAACAGCCCAGACCAUCAGCUAAGGUCCCAAAGUAUACGCUAAGUGGAAAAGGAUGUGGAAUUGCACAGACAACCAGGAUGUUGGCUCAGAAGCAGCCACCAUUUAAAGAGUGCGUAAUAGCUCACUGGUCGAGUGGUUCUGCGCCGAAAAUGUAACGGGGCUCAAGCGUAUCACCGAAGCUAUGGCUUUACAGUUUACUGUAAGGGGUAGGGGAGCGUUCCAAGGUCAGCGAAGUUCAACUGGAAGGUUGGGUGGAGAGCUUGGAAGUGAGAAUGCCGGUAUGAGUAUGCGAAAAGGUGAGUGAGAAUCUCACCCGCCGAAAAUCUAAGGUUUCCUGGGGAAGGCUCGUCCGCCCAGGGUCAGUCGGGACCUAAGCCGAGGCCGAAAGGCGUAGGUGAUGGACAACUGGUGGAUAUUCCAGUACCUCUCUUAAACGUUAUUAGCGAUGGGGUGACACAGAAGGAUAGGUUAAGCGUGCCGUUGGUUGAGCACGCCCAAGCCCGUAGGGUGUGAGGCAGGUAAAUCCGUCUUACGCGUUGCCUGAAAGGUAAUGGGGAGCGAAAAUAAGUAGCGAAGUAACCGACUCCAAGCUGUCAAGAAAAGCCUCUAGUGAGUGAGAGAGAGCCCGUACCGCAAACCGACACAGGUAGAUAAGGAGAGAAUCCUAAGGCGCGCGAGAAAACCCUCGUUAAGGAACUCGGCAAAAUAGCCCCGUAACUUCGGGAGAAGGGGCGCUCUUCGCAAGAAGAGCCGCAGAGAAAUGGUCCAGGCGACUGUUUAACAAAACACAGGUUCCUGCCAAUCUGAAAAGAGAAGUAUAGGAGCUGACGCCUGCCCGGUGCUGGAAGGUUAAGAGGAGAGGUUAGCCGCAAGGCGAAGCUUUGAAUUGAAGCCCCAGUAAACGGCGGCCGUAACUAUAACGGUCCUAAGGUAGCGAAAAUUCCUUGUCAGGUAAGUUCUGACCCGCACGAAAGGCGUAACGAUCUGGACACUGUCUCAACGAGGGACUCGGCGAAAUUGUAAUACCCGUGAAGAUGCGGGUUACCUGCGACAGGACAGAAAGACCCCAUGGAGCUUUACUGUAGCUUGACAUUGGAUUUUGGUAUAAAAUGUACAGGAUAGGUGGGAGACUAAGAAGCUAGGGCGCCAGCCUUGGUGGAGUCGCCGGUGGGAUACCACUCUUUUUGUACUGAAAUUCUAACUUAGACCCCUGAAUCGGGGUUGAGGACCGUGUCAGGUGGGCAGUUUGACUGGGGCGGUCGCCUCCUAAAGAGUAACGGAGGCGCCCAAAGGUUCCCUCAGCGCGGAUGGAAAUCGCGCGAAGAGUGUAAAGGCAAAAGGGAGCUUGACUGCGAGACCAACAAGUCGAGCAGGGACGAAAGUCGGGCUUAGUGAUCCGGUGGUACCGAGUGGAAGGGCCAUCGCUCAACGGAUAAAAGCUACCCUGGGGAUAACAGGCUUAUCUCCCCCAAGAGUCCAUAUCGACGGGGAGGUUUGGCACCUCGAUGUCGGCUCAUCGCAUCCUGGGGCUGUAGUAGGUCCCAAGGGUUGGGCUGUUCGCCCAUUAAAGCGGUACGUGAGCUGGGUUCAGAACGUCGUGAGACAGUUCGGUCCCUAUCCGUCGCAGGCGCAGGAAAUUUGAGGGGAGCUGACCCUAGUACGAGAGGACCGGGUUGGACGGAUCACUGGUGUACCAGUUGUCUCGCCAGAGGCAUAGCUGGGUAGCUAUAUCCGGAUCGGAUAAGCGCUGAAAGCAUCUAAGCGCGAAACCGACCUCAAGAUGAGAUUUCCCACAGCACAAGCUGGUAAGACCCCUGAAAGAUGAUCAGGUAGAUAGGCCCAAUGUGGAAGCGCGGUGACGUGUGGAGCUGACGGGUACUAAUCGGUCGAGGGCUUGACCUA
rnacentral:rRNA from 1 species